rnacentral:rRNA from 1 species
UGGGGAAUAUUGGACAAUGGGCGCAAGCCUGAUCCAGCCAUGCCGCGUGAGUGAUGAAGGCCCUAGGGUUGUAAAGCUCUUUCACCGGUGAAGAUAAUGACGGUAACCGGAGAAGAAGCCCCGGCUAACUUCGUGCCAGCAGCCGCGGUAAUACGAAGGGGGCUAGCGUUGUUCGGAUUUACUGGGCGUAAAGCGCACGUAGGCGGACUAUUAAGUCAGGGGUGAAAUCCCGGGGCUCAACCCCGGAACUGCCUUUGAUACUGGUAGUCUCGAGUUCGAGAGAGGUGAGUGGAAUUCCGAGUGUAGAGGUGAAAUUCGUAGAUAUUCGGAGGAACACCAGUGGCGAAGGCGGCUCACUGGCUCGAUACUGACGCUGAGGUGCGAAAGCGUGGGGAGCAAACAGG